GAGAUCUCAGUCUUCCUCUUCUUAAAAGGGCACUAAUCCCAUCAUAAGUGUCGCACCCUCAUGACCUCAUCUAAAUAUAAUUACCUCCUAAAGAUUCCUGCUUCCAAAUACAUUCAGGGUUAGGGCUUCAACAUGAAUUUUGGGGGACACAAACAUUCAGCCCAUAACAGGGAAGAUAAUGGUUGUUAUGAGAAUUAAACUUAAUAUUAUAUAUAAAAGCACUUAAUACUAUGCCUACUCCCCAUAUUAAGUACUAAAUAAAUGUUAUCAUUGCAUAGUAGCUGUUUAUUCUUUUGACUUAGAGGCAACUUUGCCAUAUUUCCUGAAUUUUUAAGACACCAUUGAUUGACAGUCAGUUUAAUCAGUAAAGCCUUUGGGGAGAGGUGGGAAGAUUUUCAAAUGAAAGACAUCUAUCUAGUUAAUAUUACAUACCAAUUUCAGAAAUGUUAAAAUGCCCGGAGAAACCGAAUCACAAAGAUAUAUGUAGUCACUUUUUUGCUUUGGAAUCCUAUUUGGUGUAAAUAUACACAAUGUAGAUGAUUGAGUGCCCCACCUUUGCCCAGCUCAGCCUCACAUUGCAUGUCACCCAGUCUUCCCUAAGCUUGUUAACUUAAGAGGUGCCAGAGGAUGGGUCAGAAAUUAUCUUGCUACCAAGUAUAGCCUCUGCCUUCUGUUGAGCUGGCUCAGCCUGUGACCUUCCUGAUUUCCACUCAUGUUUCAGCUUGGACUGGAGCUCUUAUUCACUUCACUGGUGCCUUAAUAACUUUGUAGCCAUCUUUUCUGUCUUCCUUCUGGGUGUUAGACCCUUUUACCUUGCCCCAACCCUGUCUAGAGGCUUACAUCAAACACAUGGAAUCCCUGAAAUGCCCUGACUGUCAUCACUGCCAUGGAACCUUUGCUGCCAGUCUCUACUUUUCAUAUCUAGCCGUUGAAUAUUGACACCAGCCUAGAUUAAUUUAAAGUCAUUACGUCUCCUGGAUACUGUGAUUUGGAUAAGUAGCCACCCUCCUUAGAGGAUGUUCAACCAUUGAGACCUUUCCCCACUUGCUCUUUCCAGGUGAGUCAAGGAUUAUACACCGCCUCCCAGUCAGCCCCCAGAUAAUAAGAAGCCUGAUUACAGACAUCACAAGACAAGUGCACAUGCAGAAACCAAGAUGGAAAUGCCCAAGAAAAAUAACCACUCAUAUUUAUAAAAUCUUAAAAAUGUUAAAGUAUAUGUGAAAAUGCUCUUAGCUACUAUGUGUCUUUAAAAUGUUGAACUGGCUAUAUACACAUAAUUUCAUAUGAAAAAAGAAUCAGAGACACUAAUAGACCAUUAAAUAAAAUAUCAGAACUCAGAUGUUGCUUAUGUUACUUAGUUCUUAUCCGACAUUUCACAAAUGAAGACAGUUGGUGAAGUAACUUAACACUGGGUCACAGUUGUUAGUGGAAAGAUUAUUAGGAAAUUUUCUAAUCCUGAAAAUUUUCUACAAUGACAUGCAGCCUCAAAAAUAUGAUAUUUAAUAAUAUAGUGCCAUUUAGAUUAGCAAGUAUGUAUUUAGGAAAAAAAUUUAUUUGACAUCCUAGUACCCAGAACUGUGGAGAAACUUGAAGGUCCCAGGCUGAAGCUGGAGAGCCACUGUUCUGUGACUUGAGCUACACAAAGACAUGAGUUGCAAAAAAAA